CCAAGGAGUCUAACAUGUGCGCGAGUCGCAGGGUGCUCGCAAAAUAAAAAAAACCCGAACCCCGAAGGCGCAAUGAAAGUGAAGGUCGGUGGUUCUGACUGACCGAGGCGGGAUCCGUCCGGGCGUCGAUCCGCUUCCCGAGUCGCAAGGCUCGAGGGCGGUGAGUCCGGCGGCGCACCGCCGGCCCGUCUCGACCGCUUCUUGUCGGCGAGGCGGAGCAAGAGCGCACACGUUGGGACCCGAAAGAUGGUGAACUAUGCUCGGGCAGGACGAAGCCAGAGGAAACUCUGGUGGAGGUCCGUAGCGAUUCUGACGUGCAAAUCGAUCGUCGGACCCGAGUAUAGGGGCGAAAGACUAAUCGAACCGUCUA
rnacentral:rRNA from 1 species